GGGGUAAUAAUUCAAUGGCAGAAUGCUUUUAUGGCAUGAAAGAAAUACGAGUUCGAUUCUCGUUUGCUCCACCA
rnacentral:tRNA from 1 species